AUACGUAGGGGGCGAGCGUUGUCCGGAAUUAUUGGGCGUAAAGGGCGUGUAGACGGUCAUAUAAGUUACAGGUGAAAGCCCAUUUUUCAAGGAUGGAACUGCCUGUAAGACUGUAAGACUUGAGUGCAGGAGAGGGAAGCGGAAUUCCAAGUGUAGCGGUGAAAUGCGUAGAUAUUUGGAGGAACACCAGUGGCGAAGGCGGCUUUCUGAACUGCAACUGACGUUGAGGCGCGAAAGCGUGGGGAGCGAACGGGAUUAGAUACCCCGGUAGUCCUGGCCGUAAACGAUGGGUACGAGGUGUAGGAGGUAUCGACCCCUUCUGUGCCGGAGUUAACGCAAUAAGUACCCCGCCUGGGGAGUACGGCCGCAAGGUUGAAACUUAAAGGAAUUGACGGGG
rnacentral:rRNA from 1 species